rnacentral:rRNA from 1 species
AGCAGUCGCCGCGGUAAUACGUAGGUGGCGAGCGUUGUCCGGAUUUAUUGGGCGUAAAGGGAGUGUAGGCGGUCUUUUAAGUCUGAUGUGAAAGCCCACGGCUCAACCGUGGAGGGUCAUUGGAAACUGGGAGACUUGAGUGCAGAAGAGGAGAGCGGAAUUCCAUGUGUAGCGGUGAAAUGCGUAGAUAUAUGGAGGAACACCAGUGGCGAAGGCGGCUCUCUGGUCUGUAACUGACGCUGAGGCUCGAAAGCGUGGGGAGCAAACAGGAUUAGAUACCCGCGUAGUCCCUGUCUCUUAUAC